GACGAACGCUGGCGGCGUGCUUAACGCAUGCAAGGCGAGCGAUGAAGCUCCUUCGGGAGCGGAUUAGCGGCGGACGGGUGAGUAACACGUGGGUAACCUGCCUCAUAGAGGGGAAUAGCCUUCCGAAAGGAAGAUUAAUACCGCAUAAGAUUGUAGCUUCGCAUGAAGUAGCAAUUAAAGGAGUAAUCCGCUAUGAGAUGGACCCGCGUCGCAUUAGCUAGUUGGUGAGGUAACGGCUCACCAAGGCGACGAUGCGUAGCCGACCUGAGAGGGUGAUCGGCCACAUUGGGACUGAGACACGGCCCAGACUCCUACGGGAGGCAGCAGUGGGGAAUAUUGCACAAUGGGGGAAACCCUGAUGCAGCAACGCCGCGUGAGUGAUGACGGUCUUCGGAUUGUAAAACUCUGUCUUCAGGGACGAUAAUGACGGUACCUGAGGAGGAAGCCACGGCUAACUACGUGCCAGCCGCCGCCGUAA
rnacentral:rRNA from 1 species